rnacentral:lncRNA from 1 species
CGCUCUCCAAUCAGAUAUUUAGAAGAAAAAAAAUGAAACAAAAAGACUCUCGCUCUAGAUCUUUUUAACUUUCUCGCUUAGAUCUUUGAGACUAUAGGGGAGAGAGGAAAUCUAGGGUUUAGGUAGAGAGUUCAUUCUCUCCGGGUUUGUAGUGUUAUUGAAAUUGAAGUUGAGUACAGCUUUUAAGGGUGUGGUAAAAAGGCAAGCUCGUUUGUCGGUACGAGAGAAGAGAGAGUAUUUAAGAAACACACAGAGAGAAAGAAGAAGGGGAAGAAAGAGAGAGAGAUCAGAGAGAGGGUUUCAUGGCCUUUCUCGCGCUCUGCAACGCCGCCAUAACCUUAAUAUCUCUCUCUCCACUCUGCUCCUCUAAUUUAAUUCUCUGUCUCCUCCUCUCUUUUCCUUUGUUUUCUAGAUUUUGCAAAACAUCUUUUUUCUUUAUUUUUGUUUUACACCUCUCACUAGUCACUUCAAAAUUGCCACACCCGCUAGAACAUUAAUCUCUUAUCGUUGAUCGUUUAUGAUCCAACGGCUAUUGUUUUGUCACGUCGGCACCAAUGGUAUUUUUCUUCUUUGUCGUUUCUUCCCGGAAACCCGUUGUUUCUUUCCCCUUUUCUCUUACAUUUUGCAAAUUUUUAUAUGUUUUGUUUUGUUAAAAUGAACUAGCUAAUUAUCCUUAAAAGGAGUAAAAUUUUAAAAUGAUGUUCAUCCCAUGAAUUCUAAAAAUAUUAUUUAUAAAAAUUUCAAACUUGAUAAUCUAAAAGCAUGUUCAUCCCAGAAAUUUAAAAGAACUAGUAUCUUAUAUUUUAAAACAAAUAAUAAUAAUAAUAAGCAUGUGAAAAUAGUGAAAGGUUUUCGUUUGAGAACUUUUAAAAUACUGGUGAGACUUUCAAAUGACAUAUGUCAUUCAUUUAAAUAAUAUUUAUAUAUAUUUAUAUCAUUACACUAUUAUUUCUUUUCUUAGAAACUUUAACUGUUUUUAGCAAUGAGGCCGUCCUAAAACUAAAUGUAUUUCAACUAUCUAAUAAAAAUUAACAUAUUUUACCAGCUAAUUAUUAAAUAUUAGAUGAACAACUCAAAAUUAAUAUUUUCUAUGUUUUAUUUUGGCUUAUUUUUUUAAAAAAAAAUUUAUAUUAGAGUGUUCUUAGUCUAAUAAUUUAUCAUUUAAGUUUCUCAAAUUUGAGAUAGCCAAUUAAUUUUAAUUAUAUAUUAUGAAAACCCAUUUAGUUCCUACUAAUGACAAGCUCCUAUGGUGUCAGAAAUCUAUUUUUGACUAUCCUAAGAUAGUUUUAUGAUUUUAAAUAAAGAUAGUUCUAUAUUCUGUGACCUAUUAGUUAGACCUCCUAACCAUGAUCUAGAACUAAGUACGAAACUAUGUCAAAAGCCCCUUAUUUUAGAGCAAAUGUGAGAUCUGUUUUUUUUUUCUAACGGCUUAGCACAUGUGAGAUCAUUGGUAAUCAAACCUUUCAAAACGAUUAUUAGUGGACGCGCAUCAUCAUGAGUGCCGCCGCAGCCGUUCCUCCGGCGCCGGCGUUUGAAGUUUCGCCGGAGAUAUUGAAUUGGCUAUGGCUGCUUGGUCCUACUCCUAAACCAGCGGCGGAGGAGUAUAGAUCCAACCUUUGCUGAUGCUGUUGAUGCUGGAACAUGAUUUCUUGCUGGUUGUGGUUUUGCCAUAGCUCAAGUGUGCCUAAAGCAGCAGCGUUUGAAGAGGAUGGAGCGUUCGCGUUUGCGUUUGUGUUGACGUUAGGGUUUCUGUACCAAAGCCAAGACUCAGAUACAGGCGGAGGAGGAUUCGUGUUGGUCCUGUGUUCUUCUUGACCGUUUCCUCCUCCGCCUCUGCCUCCUCCACCGUCUAACGAGAAAAAACCCGCCAUUCACCGGCAACACCACCACAACCACUACCCAUACCACCGCUCUCCAAUCAGAUAUUUAGAAGAAAAAAAAUGAAACAAAAAGACUCUCGCUCUAGAUCUUUUUAACUUUCUCGCUUAGAUCUUUGAGACUAUAGGGGAGAGAGGAAAUCUAGGGUUUAGGUAGAGAGUUCAUUCUCUCCGGGUUUGUAGUGUUAUUGAAAUUGAAGUUGAGUACAGCUUUUAAGGGUGUGGUAAAAAGGCAAGCUCGUU